UACGGAGGGUGCAAGCGUUGUCCGGAUUUAUUGGGUUUAAAGGGCGCGUAGGCGGUCAGCACAAGUCAGUUGUGAAAUCUCCGGGCUUAACUCGGAAAGGUCAACUGAUACUGUGCGACUAGAGUGCAGAAGGGGCAACUGGAAUUCUCGGUGUAGCGGUGAAAUGCGUAGAUAUCGAGAGGAACACCUGCGGCGAAGGCGGGUUGCUGGGCUGACACUGACGCUGAUGCGCGAAAGCCAGGGGAGCGAACGGG
rnacentral:rRNA from 1 species